rnacentral:rRNA from 1 species
GAUGAACGCUGGCGGCGUGCCUAAUACAUGCAAGUCGAGCGAACAGACGAGGAGCUUGCUCCUCUGACGUUAGCGGCGGACGGGUGAGUAACACGUGGAUAACCUACCUAUAAGACUGGGAUAACUUCGGGAAACCGGAGCUAAUACCGGAUAAUAUAUUGAACCGCAUGGUUCAAUAGUGAAAGACGGUUUUGCUGUCACUUAUAGAUGGAUCCGCGCCGCAUUAGCUAGUUGGUAAGGUAACGGCUUACCAAGGCAACGAUGCGUAGCCGACCUGAGGGGGUAAGCGGCCACACUGAAAGGGAGAACAGGCCAAAAACCCCAGGGGGGGCGACAAGAGGAAAACUUCCGCAAGGGGGGAAAGCCGGACGGAGAAAGGCGCGGGGGUGAAUGAAGUGUUUCGGAUGGUAAAACUCUGUUAUUGGGGAAAAAAAAAUGUGAAAGAAACUAGGAAAGUUUGGAGGGACCCAAAGAAGAAACCCAGGCGAAACUAGGG